GGUCCUGCCCCUGAAAACACAGGGAGUGCCAAGCCCUGUGAAGGAUCCUACCCACCUCGCCCCCAGUUCUUCAGCCCAUUCUCCUUUCGACUGCCGUCCUUUGUGCGGUGCUUGUCCAAGCCCUCCCUUGAGGGCUGACUGCCGAGACUGCAGCCCAUAUGAUGGGUGCACCGCUCUCGGGCGUCUGCGGCGCACUCUGCCGCGCGGGGAGGCAGUUACUGCUCUGCAUGCUGGGGUGACCCUGAUGUCAGGACUCAUAAAAGGCCACCUGCCAGUCAGGAGGAGAUCCCGAGGCGUGGCCGCGCAGCCACCGAAACACACACACACACACACAGACACACACACAGACACACACACGUACGUUCUUCUGUUGAAGGAGAGAUGGCUUCUCAAGCCAAAGUGAUGGAGAUCACAUUAAGAAGGUAGAUAAAGUCCGUUAUGGGCAGUUGGAGACCUACAAGGCGAGGCAAUCCACUCUUGAGCAUAACAUUGUCUGAAUCAUCAGUGAGCCUUUGAGGGAACAGGGAGAGGAAAAGAAAUUAAUAUUUAAUGAUACCAGACAUUUUGCUACGUCUCUACAUGCAUUUUCGCCUGUAAUACAACAAUCCCCCCUUCAGAGGAGGAAGCAGCCUUAAAUAACAGGUUAAAUAACUUUCUCAAGAAAGAGAGCACACGACCAGGGGAGCAGCAGACAGAGGGAGAAGCAGGCUCCCCGCUAACCAGGACCCCUCACAGCCCCCCAGUGGGGGACUUGAUCCCACGGUCCUGGGAUCAUGACCUGAGCCGAAGGCAGAUGCCCAACCAGCUGAGCAACCCACGCAUUCCUGAACUCAUAAAGAAUGAUAUGGUAGUUUUGGCUGUUGAACCCAAACUUUUGGCUUUUUAAGGUUUUGAAUGAUUUCAUAAUCCUAACAAUAUUUUACUUCAAAUAAAGCUGUUUUUAGAUAAAUUUAGGAGUAUUUCCUCGAUGUUUUGAAUAUUAAAAUGUAAUGAAAAUUAAAUUAGUAACUAAGCAGUAACUUCUGUUCUUCCCAGGCUCCCCCGCCGCGCACAUCUGCAUUGUUUCAUUUUUUUUUACUGUUUGUGAUUUAAAAAAAAAUAUGGAAGUAAUACAUGAAUGGCUCCCAUUAUAAAAGUUUGAGAUAACUCAGAAAUAAAACUUGAAAGCCCCUUACUUAGUACUUACUACACUGUACUGUAUUCCCUACACCAUGUCAGUCCUUUCUUCAGAGAUAAUUACUCUCAGUUCUUUGGCAUGUGUUUGUUUACUCCCCCUCCUUUCCUUUAAAAAAAAAAAAGUUUUACUUACAUUUUAAAAAACAAAUGUAAUCAUGCUUUAUACAUUCUGCAACUUAUUUUUUCAGUUAUUAUGUCAUUGACAUUUCCACAUGAGAGUACUUAAAAUCAACUCCAUGUUGAUUUAUUCAAUAGUUUUCCUGUUGCAGUACAUGUGAUUUAUUCAAUAAUUUUCCUGUUGAAUGACUAUUUAGACUUUUUUAGUGUGUUUUAGGAAGGAGACUCAUGUGAAAGUGCUUCUUUAGGAUGAAUUCCUGGAAGUGGAUCCAGAAUUCUAUAAUUUUAAUCAAAAUAAAUUUACUAUCAUUUUAAUUUGAGUUUUUAAAGUUUUUGGGUUUUAAAAUAAUACAUUUUAUAAAUAGGAAAUAUACGUGCAUGGUUCAGAAUUCAGAAGGCACAAAAUGGGUCAACCUCUCUCUCAUCGUGUUUCUUUUAACCAACCUGUUCUUUCUAGUGGCCACCGUUAACAUUUGUUGUAUAACCUACUAAAAUAACCUAUGCUAUAUAAAGGCGUAUAUUAUAUGACUUACAACAUUUUGCCAUUUUUUUCUCUCAAAGAAUGCCACACAUGCUAUUCCACAGAAGAAAGAUCUCUCUUGGUGAUUGUUCUGUACCAGUGCGGAGAGAACUGCUUCAUUCUUCUGUUUAGUACUGUCCUGUGUGGCUUUACCAUACUUCAUUUAACCAGUUCCAAAUUGGUGGAUAUCUAGGUUAUUUCCAAUCUUUUGUUACUAUGAUGCUGCUUGUACAUGUCAUUGUGCCCUUCUGUAUGAAGUUAAAGAGUGUAGGCAUUUAUCAUUUUGAUACAUUGUCAAACUGCAGUCCUUAGAGAUUGUUUUAUUUUCUACUCCCACCAACAAAGUAUUAGAAGACCUCAUCAAUACUGUUUUCAAACUGUUUGCCAACAUGAUAAGUAAAAAUGUUGGUUUACUUUGCAUUUCUCUUGUGGUUGAUCAUCUUUUGACAUAUAGUUGACCCUUGAACCAUGUGGGGCCUUUUAGGGGCAGUUGACAUCCCCCUCAAUUCAGCACAGUUGAAAAUCACAUACAACUUUUUGAUUCUGCCCCCAAAAUUAACUACAAAUAGCCUGCUGUUGACCAUCUGCCUUACCGAUGACAUAAAAUUGGUUAACACAUAGUUUGUAUGUUAUAUGUAUUAUAUACUGUAUUCUUACAAUAAAGUAAACUGAAGAAAAGAAAAUGUUUUUAAGAAAAUCAUAAGGAAGAGAAAAUAUAUUUAUAGUACCGUACUGUAUUUAUAGAUACAGUGAGUUUACAAUGUAUAUUUAUGGGAUGAAUCAUGUCAGUAACUAUAUCAAUAUUGUCUUAAAUGAUACAAAACAUAGUAGAUGUUACAUAUAUUACUGACACUAGACAUGAAAAAUGAAAAGAUAAUGUGAAAAAGAAAUUCAUAUUUAUUUACAAAUAUAAUGAUUUAUGCAUUGAUAACAAACAGCAGUAUGACUGUUUUAUGGUAGCCUAGUGUAAUCGAUAGGAUUGCUUCACAGUAGCCUAGCCUGUAUACUAACAAAUGAAUCGUUACAAAAAAAUUUUAUGGCAUACAGUAUUACAGUCAUAUUUAUAAUACAAUAUUAUGAAUAUAACUUAAAAAAUCAUUUACUUGGGAUUAUAGGCUGAUAGCAGUUUCUCCAGUUUUGAGAGAGAGGCGUAGUGUAGUUACAUAAUUCUUUGAAAGCAAAGUUUUGAAACAGUAAGAAAACUAACUUCUGGGAUACCUGGGUGGCUCAGUUGAUUAAGCAUCUGCCUUUGGCUCAGGUCAUGAUCCUGGGGUC